ensembl:lncRNA
CAAUUGUCAAUUGUGAAUAGGCUAAUUUUUUGUGUAGUUAUUUAUGUUCUAUAUACCAAUAUUGUACAUAAAAUGUCAUUACAGAGAGAGAAAGAGAUUGAAGAGAGACUUUAGACUGUUAAAAGAGAGUGGAUCCCAGAAGUGCUAUCUAUAUGUUGGGCAAUAAAUGUCCAGAGGUGAUAAAUUAGGAUUUUUAAAGACAGACUCACUAUCAGUAUCAAAUUAUAUAAAUGCAUUUUUAUGUUGUCUGAGAAAGACACAAAACAGCUAUAUCAAAUCCUCUGCCAUUUAUGUGUAUGUGGGGUCUAAAUGUGUUCCUUUGCCCCGAUAGAUGAACUUUUAGGGGGCCGAUAAGGAGAAAGCUUCACCCCGACCUCAUCCUUCCCAUCUUGCCUGCCUUCAGUGGAACACAUUUAUUGUUAAUUUUAGUUAUAUUAACACGUUUUAACAUUACACAAAACACUCAUGUCCGUAAAUGCCUGGAAGAUGUUUCAUUUUUUAAACAUUGUUUUCGGUACCCACCGUGCAGUCUUUUAAUAUCCGUCCCUGUGUUUCUGCAGUCUUUCAGUGGCAGCAGCACCAGGCAGGUGUAUGCCCAUACCACCCACAUGUUUACAGCUUUUGGUUUGAGCUGCUAGCUGUAGAUGUUUUUUGGCACCCUCCAUCCUUCCAGACAUUUCCUUCAGCUCCAUUUUUACUGCAGAGCUACCGAAGCUGCAAGGUAGAAAUGUAGAGAUACAGACAACUCCCUCAUCUUAACAGCCUCAGUGACGGUCUUAUCAUAGUUUCUUUUUUAUGGUGAACAUGGAAGUGAAGUGACAUUUAUUAUAAACUUCAAGCUCGUCUCUUCAGAUGGAUUCAAACGUCACAGAUGUGCCAGUUCUGCAAACAUGAGUGCAGGUUAGCGAUAUCGCUAUUUUCCAUUUCUGGGUUUUACUUUGGUUAGUUCUCACUGCCAGCUGGAGAGCAAAGGUGCAAAGUCUUUAAGCGCAUCAAUACGACAGCAUUUCUGAAAGAGAAGUGAAUAUUUUUAGGCUUGUAAUCACACACAAAACAAAAGAAAAUCAGUAUAAAACUUGGAUUUUUCUUUUUUUUGUUUUCCUUUUUUGCAGAGUAGCCAGUGUUCAAUAUUGUUGACUUAACAAGACGAUUUUAUGAGUCUUUUUGAAAGAAAUAUCGUGCAAAUUCAGGUUUCUCAGCGAGGAGGCUGAGGUUUUUUUGAACAUUUUGAUAAUGAAAUGACUGCUGUUUGGUCAUUUGGUGCUUAUAGAUGUGUGUUUCUGACCUUGAGGAGGAUUGUUCCUCAUGCGGGAGCAUGCCGUUCUUAACUUUGUGACGCAGAAAACCGAUGUUCUGUCAAAAGCAAAAUGUCUUAACCCUAAAAAUCCUGAACCGAACUGUCUUUGACCACAACUGGAUCCCUGAGCAGCGUGUCAGACCUCAAGUAGUCUUACCUCACUGACUUCUCUUAUCAGUAAUUAAAAACGGCAGUUCAGCUUUUGUGUUGUAUCGCCCCACAACAAGCCGUCUGUCUGUACGCUCAUGUGUGGGGUUCCUAUGCAUCUUCAGAUCUCAAAAGUCUGGUGGAGUGAUUUGAAAUUGGCCGACAAAGCAAUGUGUAGGGACUCGUUAGGACCUAUGACGUGUGUAUUAAAUGCAUUAUAGCCUACAGGUCUGUACAAAACCAGCUCUACCAAAACUCCUUCUGCAUGCUUCAUUCAUGUGCUAACCUUUAUGUUUCAAGGACCUUAAUUCAGCUACCUUUUGUAGGGUGCUCAUUGUUUAUGGUUUUUAUGUAAAUCAAUAUUUUAUUAUUUUUUUUUAAAAAACGGUGAAAUUUGAAUUGGCCUGUCCAGAAAUACCUCUCCAGGUAUUUCUUCUCCUCCUCUUUGUUCUUCUUAAUCUACUUGCUACAAUAAAUUUGCAAGCAUAGAAAGUGAUUAAAAACCAAAAACAAUGAGCCUGGCCAUGUUCUCAGCUCGUGGAAGAGUGUUGUGUUUGUACUAAUCCCUGCAAACGUAAUGUAAUAUCUGUGUGAUAUUAUGUCUUUGUAAGUGCAGACUUGGUGUUUUAAAGGCUUAUACUGAUUAUUUCGUAGUACUCGGACGAGUGUCGAGUACGCUUCCCGGAGCUAUCACUGACACUGAGAUCUGUGUUUUAAGUCCUCUGGUUUGCAGUCCUAGAUCGUGAUCGUGUUUUCUGCCGUUCGGCUGUCACAACUCGUUUGGAGUUCUCGUCGUGUUUGGUUGUCACUGAUUAAAUCUCUUUACUGUAAUUCAGCGAUUGAGCUGUAAAACAUCCGACAAGGUGCUACUGUACUCACGACUACAAACGGAAAAGGUAUAACACAGGACACUGCUCCGGAAACGCCCUUGUUUCACAUCCACCUUUAAACAUUCACUUUUUCCCUGCUUUGAUCGUUAGUGUGCUCAUCCUGGCCAUCGUUCGCCACGAUGAAGUCUUUCCAAAUGUUUCAAUCUGAAUCAUCUCUAAAGCCUUGAGCAGUUUACCUUGAUGAAACCUUCUGGAUCUGUUGCAUUUGUGUGUCGAUGAAAACUAAAAAUAAAAUUUAAUGAGCCCAAAUAGAACAACUCCAAGGCUUUUUCUGUCACACAAAGAGCAAAAUUCUUGGAUAUGACAAUGGUGUGCAGCUUUUACGUCACAAUUAGAAUUGUUUUGCCUCUCGUGCUUGUUUAGUUCUAAAAGCCCUGUGACCUGACGGAAAGGUGGAAAGGGCGAGGUCUUCGCCGCAGUGGCGGUCAGGCUGCGUCUCUGCUGCUGGUGCUCUCUAUGGUGCUAACAACUAUACACUUCAAACUUCAGAGACAGGGAGGAACUGUGUCGCGAAGCUCUCGUUCUCCUGCCGCCGUACGUGCUCCAGUCCUUGGGCGUCUGAUGAAGAAGGUGCUCGAUCCCCACCCUACUUUAAGAUUGGGUUUCCCUACUUGUCUGGGCUCGCUUUGGAAAGGAAACAGAGGGAAUUUUAAAUAAGUCAUAGACUGUGACGGGGCUGAUGCUGUGAAAAAUAAAAGAAAAGUGGUGAGAAAUUGGGUGCACCAGCUGCAAUUUCGUGCCUCAAAGAGAAACUCGCACUUAUUACAGGCUUCACUGGUGAGAUGUUUGCGCCUCCGAGUUCGAUUGAGUCUCACUCCAAUUUCUAACAGAUAAUUGGCUCUGAAAGACUAGAACAUCCAUGAAUUUAAAGUCGUGUACAGCUGGUUGUGUUUUCGUCUACACGUUUCUCUCAGGAGGUUCGACCUUCUCGCCACCCGUGUGUAGAUGAUGCUGGCCGCAUCUUGCGCCAGAACAGAUCAAUGUUCGCCUUUUUAUUAGGACUAACAUUGAGACAUCAGUGCUGCUAUGGCUGACAGGCAGGAUAAGAGGCUUCCAGGAGGCCUGCAGAUGGUGUUGCUAUCUGCUCUGAAAUGUCUCUGGCUCAUCUCUGCUUUGACCCUGAUCUCCUGUCAGCCUGUUUGUUAGCUCCUGCUGGGAUCUCGGUGAAGCCCGGCCAAAGUUUAGCCGCUUCACGUGGACCGUCGAGUCUGAGCAGAGCGAGUUUGCUCCACCGCCAUGACGGGAAGAUGAGUAAACAGUUUAUUCAGGCCGCUUUGAACAGUUUUCUGAGCUCGGAAACUUUCCUCCUCAGCGGCAGCCGCAUUCAUUUCAGCUUUCAUUUCAGGCUUGUUGGCAGCAGAAUUAUUUCUGGCAACUUCAAAUGGCUCUCCUGUGUUUACUCUGCUGUAAUAAGCGUCCACUCUGGGAGUCUGGUAGCUUUCUUUGUUACCCAGCUCUCUUUCUCCCUCGUUUGAGUUCUCUGCAAGGCGCAGCAAUCUCACAGGCUGGCUUUGUGUGCAGCAGAGACUGAGACCUCACUUGUAUGAACCACAUGAGCCACGUGAACUGAAACGGUCCAAAAAAAUAUAGAUUUCAUUUGGCCGGGGUGUCUCUUCAGAGCGUUUUGGAGCCGGCAGCCCUCGAGGGCACAGCGUCACGCUGCCACAGGUGGUACAGUUUGAAGAGCAAAUGUUUGCUUAAAUUAUGGAUUGUUUUGCUGCUUCGGGUGAUUGUUCACUGCCGAUCGGGGCAACAAAGUCUCAUUUGCAAAGGCGCAGCAGUUGCGAACGACUCCAAACUAUCAGCUUUAGCAACUCAGAACGAAUCGGUCAUCUGCUACUAAAUCUCACAGUGACAUUCCCCUGAUGUUAUCACCUGAUCUGUCCAGUUUUGUAUAAAUAUUUAUUUAUGCUGAAAAAGUGACCUCUGCAGUAGUUUUUAAGUGUUUGAGAUUUAUGCUCUUGCUCAUAAUUUUGCAGUUUUUUUCCCCCUUUCUUUGUGAAACUGAGCAGACUCGUACAGGAAAAAUGGCUUAAAUUAUGACUCAUUCCCCCUCUUUCAUAUUAAAUAAAGUGUCGUCUUCGCAAUGUGUGACAAAACACAUGGGUCGUAUUCAUUAGGUCAAGUUUAUUUAAAAAAAAAAAAGAAGAAAAAAAAGGUAUGAAUGUGGCAAUGUGGUUAUUGUAUUGGCAAGGAAAACGUGCAAUAUACAGUUCCCAGAUGGUUCCAGCCUUUUUUAAAAAUUUUGAAAUGAUUUUUCUUUUUCCAGUCAGGUCCUCAGGUCACUAAAUGCCUUCUGGUCCUGAGGGUGACCAGGGAAUCUCAGAACAUACACUAAUGCACCCAAAAUUCAAACGACUGGAUUUUAUUUUAGUCUCUUCUUGUUUUCCUGCUCCGCCGCUCUUCUUGUCACAAAUACCCCAGACUUUUUUUUUUCUUUUUGGGUUUUGGUUUGCUUUCAGGUUAACACAGACUCUUAUUCUGGUGUCCUUUUCCUUGCCUCCUUUUGUAUUAUUGUUAUUUAUUGCACAUGUAAUGAGUUGGUCUCCACUGUCAUUUAAUUCAAGGAGUUUUGGGGCUGGAAUUUCUUUCAUACAAAACUACAGAAGCUUUUGUCAAAACCUAAGUGUGUAUUUCAUCAAUAAAUGCCUUUAAAAGUGCUUCUGGUGCCGUGUUGAUUGGAUUUCUUUGGAUUUGGAAGGCCGCCAUUGAUUUUGUUUAUUUAACGUAGACAAAAAAUGUAAAAUGCACAUUAGAAUACACAGGCCAUUAGAUCAAUCUGUACUCAGCUGCCACUUUGUAAGGUACUCCUCUUCAGCUGCCUGCAAACACAUCUAAUCAGCCAGUCACUUGGCAAGAACGCUGUGCAUUUAGGCUUGUAGAUAUUUUAAGUGGUUUUG